GACGAAGGAUGCAAGCGUUAUCCGGAUUCAUUGGGUUUAAAGGGAGCGUAGGCGGCCUUGUAAGUCAGUGGUGAAGUCUCUGGGCUUAACCCAGAAAUUGCCAUUGAUACUGCAGGGCUUGAGUACAGUUGCCGUUGGCGGAAUAUGACAUGUAGUGGUGAAAUACAUAGAGAUGUCAUAGAACACCGAUUGCGAAGGCAGCUAACGAAACUGUAACUGACGCUGAGGCUCGAAAGUGUGGGGAUCAAACAGG
rnacentral:rRNA from 1 species